rnacentral:rRNA from 1 species
GAGUUUGCUCAUGGCUCAGAACGAACGCUGGCGGCAGGCCUAACACAUGCAAGUCGAGCGCACCCUUCGGGGCGAGCGGCGGACGGGUUAGUAACGCGUGGGAAUGUACCCUUUUCUACGGAAUAGCCAUUGGAAACGAUGAGUAAUACCGUAUACGCCCUUUGGGGGAAAGAUUUAUCGGAGAAGGAUCAGCCCGCGUUAGAUUAGAUAGUUGGUGGGGUAAUGGCCUACCAAGUCUACGAUCUAUAGCUGGUUUUAGAGGAUGAUCAGCAACACUGGGACUGAGACACGGCCCAGACUCCUACGGGAGGCAGCAGUGGGGAAUCUUAGACAAUGGGCGCAAGCCUGAUCUAGCCAUGCCGCGUGAGUGAAGAAGGCCUUAGGGUCGUAAAGCUCUUUCGCCAGGGAUGAUAAUGACAGUACCUGGUAAAGAAACCCCGGCUAACUCCGUGCCAGCAGCCGCGGUAAUACGAAGGGACCUAGCGUAGUUCGGAAUUACUGGGCUUAAAGAGUUCGUAGGUGGUUGAAAAAGUUAGUGGUGAAAUCCCAGAGCUUAACUCUGGAACUGCCAUUAAAACUUUUCAGCUAGAGUAUGAUAGAGGAAAGCAGAAUUUCUAGUGUAGAGGUGAAAUUCGUAGAUAUUAGAAAGAAUACCAAUUGCGAAGGCAGCUUUCUGGAUCAUUACUGACACUGAGGAACGAAAGCAUGGGUAGCGAAGAGGAUUAGAUACCCUCGUAGUCCAUGCCGUAAACGAUGUGUGUUAGACGUUGGAAAUUUAUUUUCAGUGUCGCAGGGAAACCGAUAAACACACCGCCUGGGGAGUACGACCGCAAGGUUAAAACUCAAAUGAAUUGACGGGGACCCGCACAAGUAGUGGAGCAUGUGGUUUAAUUCGAAGAUACGCGCAGAACCUUACCAACACUUGACAUGUUCGUCGCGACUCUAAGAGAUUAGAGUUUUCGGUUCGGCCGGACGAAACACAGGUGCUGCAUGGCUGUCGUCAGCUCGUGUCGUGAGAUGUUGGGUUAAGUCCCGCAACGAGCGCAACCCUCACUUUUAGUUGCCAUCAUUAAGUUGGGCACUCUGAAAGAACUGCCAGUGAUAAGCUGGAGGAAGGUGGGGAUGACGUCAAGUCCUCAUGGCCCUUACGUGUUGGGCUACACACGUGCUACAAUGGUAUCUACAACAGGAAGCAAGACUGCGAAGUUAAGCAAAUCCCUAAAAGAUACCUCAGUUCGGAUUGCACUCUGCAACUCGAGUGCAUGAAGCUGGAAUUACUAGUAAUCGUGGAUCAGCGUGCCACGGUGAAUGCGUUCCCGGGUCUUGUACACACCGCCCGUCACACCAUGGGAGUUGGUUCUACCUUAAGGCAAGGUUUCAAACCCUUGACCACGGUAUAGUCAGCGACUGGGGUGAAGUCGUAACAAGGUAACC